rnacentral:rRNA from 1 species
GACAGAGGGGGCAAGCGUUGCUCGGAAUUACUGGGCGUAAAGGGCGCGUAGGCGGGAUGGCAAGUCGGUCGUGAAAUCCUUCGGCUCAACCGAAGAACGUCGAUCGAUACUGCUGUUCUUGAGGGUUGCAGAGGAGACUGGAAUUCCCGGUGUAGCGGUGAAAUGUGUAGAGAUCGGGAGGAACACCGGUGGCGAAGGCGGGUCUCUGGGCAUUAACUGACGCUGAGGAGCGAAAGCAUGGGGAGCGAACAGG